UCCGUCCAUGUGUCCGUCCCUCCUCAGAUCAGUGUGUGUCUGCGUCUGUGCAGGGCCAGGUCCCCCCUCCUCAGAUCAGUGUGUGUCUGCGUCUGUGCAGGGCCAGGUCCCCCCUCCUCAGAUCAGUGUGUGUCUGCGUCUGUGCAGGGCCAGGUCCCCCCUCCUCAGAUCAGUGUGUGUCUGCGUCUGUGCAGGGCCAGGUCCCCCCUCCUCAGAUCAGUGUGUGUCUGCGUCUGUGCAGGGCCAGGUCCCCCCUCCUCAGAUCAGUGUGUGUCUGCGUCUGUGCAGGGCCAGGUCCCCCCUCCUCAGAUCAGUGUGUGUCUGCGUCUGUGCAGGGCCAGGUCCCCCCUCCUCAGAUCAGUGUGUGUCUGCGUCUGUGCAGGGCCAGGUCCCCCCUCCUCAGAUCAGUGUGUGUCUGCGUCUGUGCAGGGCCAGGUCCCCCCUCCUCAGAUCAGUGUGUGUCUGCGUCUGUGCAGGGCCAGGUCCCCCCUCCUCAGAUCAGUGUGUGUCUGCGUCUGUGCAGGGCCAGGUCCCCCCUCCUCAGAUCAGUGUGUGUCUGCGUCUGUGCAGGGCCAGGUCCCCCCUCCUCAGAUCAGUGUGUGUCUGCGUCUGUGCAGGGCCAGGUCCCCCCUCCUCAGAUCAGUGUGUGUCUGCGUCUGUGCAGGGCCAGG